rnacentral:tRNA from 3 species
UGCCCCGUGGCUGAGUUGGUUACAGCGGUUGACUGUUAGUUAUUAAUAAUUAAUUAAUCUAAUUAAUUACUAUUACGUAAUAUAUCAGACGGUCGAGAGUUCGAGUCUCUCCGGGGCAG